GGGGCUGAUCUAGGAUUCGACGGGAUUAGCGAAGCCCAAGGUGCAUGUCGAGGUGCGGUAGGCCUCGUAAAUAAACCGCAAAACAAUAGUCGCAAACGACGAACAAUUUGCUUUAGCAGCUUAAUAACCUGCCUUAAAGCCUUAUCUCCUCAGCUUCCGCUCGUAAGACGAGGGUUCAGAUAAGUCAUCCUAAACGAGAUCGUGUGGAAGCCGCCGCUUGAGGAUCGAAACACUAAAUUAAAUCAAGCUAGCUUAUUUAUCGCGUGUCUGUCCGCAGUGAGUAAGUGAAAUUAAAGACUAGACUAAACAUGUAGUGCUGAAGGUAGAGGAAUUUCGGACGGGGGUUCAACUCCCCCCAGCUCCACCA
rnacentral:tmRNA from 1 species